GCAGAGAACUUUCCAGAGAUGGAUUGGUGCCUUCGGGAACUCUGACACAGGUGCUGCAUGGCUGUCGUCAGCUCGUGUCGUGAGAUGUUGGGUUAAGUCCCGUAACGAGCGCAACCCUUGUCCUUAGUUACCAGCACGUUAUGGUGGGCACUCUAAGGAGACUGCCGGUGACAAACCGGAGGAAGGUGGGGAUGACGUCAAGUCAUCAUGGCUCUUACGGCCUGGGCUACACACGUGCUACAAUGGUCGGUACAAAGGGUUGCCAAGCCGCGAGGUGGAGCUAAUCCCAUAAAACCGAUCGUAGUCCGGAUCGCAGUCUGCAACUCGACUGCGUGAAGUCGGAAUCGCUAGUAAUCGUGAAUCAGAAUGUCACGGUGAAUACGUUCCCGGGCCUU
rnacentral:rRNA from 1 species